AGAAAUUAUUAUUAUGCUUAAAUAAAACUUGUAUUACAGAAGUAAUGCUAACUAUUAGGCUAUAUCGUAGAAGAGAAUAGUAACGUAAUUUUAUGUUAGGAAAAAUUCUACUAUCGUCACGAAGAAUCCGAAUUCGAAUCCAGUCGAGUAUUUCUAGUAAAAUGAGCAUUUUUUCUUCAUCUUUAACUUUUGCUGACAACCUCCAUUUCGAAUCACGUAAGUUAUAUCAAUAUGAGGAAUCUGGCGACAGACUCGAUGGGAUAUUUUCUUUUAGAGACCCGCUAAGAGGAAAUGAAUUUCGGGAAGACUUUUAUGGCAAACUGGCUUCUGUUCUAGUGUUGGACACGUCAAGAAAACCCGAAAAACUCUACGCUGUCAGCCCGUUGACAAAGCGCCAACUCACCACCAAUUACUAAUGUUUCGGCUCGUCCCUCGGCUGUUGCUGGUGGCGUAAAUUCUACAAUCACCGCAAGAGUUUGGAAUUCGAAUUCGAUCUGGCAUCACAAGUAAUGUUCCUCAUCCUUCAAUCAUUCUGGUCCACCUCAUUGCGGGUCGGACUCGUCAGUAAUGGAUCGAAAUGCCAUCAGUCACAAAACCUUAAUGUUCUGCAGCUUGGGAUUAAUAAAUCAAACACUUAUUAAUGUUAUUGUUAAGUAAUAAACAUAGAGAAUUCUGU